AUUGAACGCUGGCGGCAUGCUUUACACAUGCAAGUCGAACGGCAGCGCGGGCUUCGGCCUGGCGGCGAGUGGCGAACGGGUGAGUAAUGCAUCGGAACGUGCCCAGUAGUGGGGGAUAGCCCGGCGGAAGCCGGACUAAUACCGCAUACGACCUGAGGGUGAAAGCGGGGGACCGAAAGGCCUCGCGCUAUUGGAGCGGCCGAUGUCGGAUUAGCUAGUUGGUGGGGUAAAGGCUUACCAAGGCGACGAUCCGUAGCUGGUCUGAGAGGACGACCAGCCACACUGGGACUGAGACACGGCCCAGACUCCUACGGGAGGCAGCAGUGGGGAAUUUUGGACAAUGGGGGCAACCCUGAUCCAGCCAUGCCGCGUGCGGGAAGAAGGCCUUCGGGUUGUAAACCGCUUUUGUUCGGGAAGAAAUCCUCUGGGCUAAUACCCCGGGGGGAUGACGGUACCGGAAGAAUAAGCACCGGCUAACUACGUG
rnacentral:rRNA from 1 species